ACUGGAGAAGAACAAUCUGUUGCUGCCGAUGGAAAGACCGUCGCCGGAGAAAAAACAUUUCCACGGAUGAUUAUUAUGCCAAUUCACAUAGCAGCCAAAAGAGAAAGGCAUCGGCAGCACAGCCAAACUGCUUAUUAGAUUAUGGCAGCACCGCCAAACUGCUACACUUUAAGAUGCAGUUCAUCUCCACAGUGUCAAACAUGCAGAGCCAAUUGUUUAUGCACUUAGGCCAAGCUUACAGGUACAUCCGUAUCAGGUUGAUCAUGAUCUUUAAGAGUAAGGCAGAUAAAUCUAUGGUUAGUAACGUUAGAUCCGCAAUAACCAUGAAGAGAAUUUUUACAGUGGGUACAAGCAUGCCUGUUUGUAGUAAAUUCAACUUUAAAACCGUGACUCAGAGCUUCUUGCACAUUGAUGGUACCCUUAAGUAGUUCCAUAAGAGCUUCUUUAGAAACUGGAAGAGUAACAUUCCUUUUACAAGCCUUAAAGUACUCCUUUUGCAUCUCCCAAGUGACUUCAUCUGCAUAGUAAUUAUAGUCGUUUGGACUGCUGGUAUGAACACCACAUGUGAAAUUACUCUUGCGCAUGAAAGGGAGCAUAGGGCAUCCAUAUACUAAUGUUAGAUUUCUUACUGUAUCUGUAUAAGCGAAGUUCCGAUGAUCCGAAGGAUAGUAUUGAUAGUUCUUGUAACUAUCGGGACAAGGAUUCCAGCCGAAUAGGGAUAUGCUCAUCGUAUAAUUAUCUUGAUCAAUGUCUAGCAGAGUAAACAAUUGUUUGUUGAUGCCAAUGACCGGAACAAUGUCUCCUAUGCACAUGAGAUAGAACAUGUGGUUUCCACAAUAUUCAGGUAUCUUUCCUCCCCAGAAAGGGUAGCUGAUCCCUCGCAAGGUUCCACACCUGUAUGCAGUAGUAGUUGUCACACAGGUGGUGAGCUGGUCCGGGAUGUUGCAGUUGGAUAACGAAAUUGAAACCAAUAAGAAAAUGAGGAAUUUGUGGAGAAUUAGCUGGAGAUGUUGGGAUUUCAUUUCCGAGACAUACCAUUGUAAGGAAGGUGUCUAAGGUGUUAUAUGUUUUAAAGCUCAUUGGAGUCUCCGAAUAUUGAUACAAGAGAAUUUUAUAUGUGGAUUUUCUUGCAUAGCUGAUAAUAACUAUAUGUCUAUAGCUGAUGUGGAUAUGUGAUGGGGAUGGAUUUUGUACUUUUAGGGGUAAAAAAAUAUUAUUAUUUCUUUAUAAUGUUUCCUUCAUAAUUCUAGCUAGCAUUUUCAUUUGAUCUAAUUGGUCACUAAAUCUUGGUUUUGGUCUCUCAAUUUUGUUUUAGCUCAUCCUUGUAUUUGUCAAUUGUGUACUAGACUCGUGUACUAUUCCUGAGAAUAACUCAAAAUACUUUAUUUUUAA